GUUAUCUCUGUCUUGGAAAAUGGGGACUAAGCAGCUUUACAAACAUCUUUUUUGUGUGCUCUUUCCAAUUGCAUAGUUGUUUUGAUGUACCUUUUGUUGGUUCCUGCAGCUAGACCAAAGCCAAAAUGGCGAUUGUGAUGACGCACAACAAAUUCAUGAUGCUGAUGGUCUGCACACUUAUCUGGGCAUUUACCAACUAUGAGGAGGUUACCUGAUAGACCAAAAUGCAGAGGGAGACCAAGAAUAAACCUUGACUCAAGAGGUUUCCUCUAUAAUUAUGGACUAUGAUCUACAUCUGUGGGCAAGAGGGCUCGCAGGUUAUAGGGUCAGCUCUUGUACAGCUCCUGAGAAUCUUGAACAUUUACUCUGGUCCUGUCCCCACUCUUGUACCUUUUGGCAAGACCUCAGUGCUUUCAUUUCUCAACAUAUUCUCUCUGAUUUCUCUUUCUCCUCUCUAUCUCUUAAAGAUGUACUGUUUGGCUUCUCUUCAUACCCGACAUCCAAAUCCAACCAAUUCUAUAUUAUCAAUCUACUUUUAAUACUAGCCAAAGCACAUAUUCACAAAAUGAAAUUUUCUAGUUCCAAACCGUCCUUUAUAGCAUUUGAACGAGAAUCCAGGCAAUACAUCAAGACCAUCUUAUUCUCUAAAAACGGCAAAGCCCUCAAAACCCUCGAUCUAUGUAUAUUAUUUAACA